UCGCGCCGCAGCACCCGGAUGAAGAAGGCGGGGUUUCGGGUGCACCAAGGGAGAUACUCAAGGUCACUUUGUAACAACUUUAUUGGCAACUAGCCGGGAAGGACAACGACAACCACCUGGUGAUUGGGCAAGCAGUGAGUGAUCCUUGAAUUAUGUACAUUUAAUUUAGUAAUUCUAACAAAUGGCUAAUGGAAGUGAUAUCAACACGUCAACAUAAAAGAUUAAACAUCUAGAAUGCCCUGCUAAGAAGAUGGCUGGGGACUGAACUCCAGCCCAUUCUGCCUAGAGCCCUGGCAUGAGACAACAUCAACCCGGAGGAUCAGCUUUUUACUUGUUAGCGCAAAGAGAUCUGUCCCCAGUUUAAAAAAUGCUGAGCUUCUCAGAUUCCCUUAUGAUUAGGAAUGGUCAAUGACAUAUCUAAUGUCUGGAUGGGAGGCAGCAAUAUUACAACUACAAGAACAAAAGUCACACGUUGAGGAUGGAGAAUCUGGAAAGUAGGAACCGGAAUUUUUCACUUUUUUUUGGAGUAAGCAGCCCUUAAUUGCCUAUUUAUGGAGUUCAUGUCACAUGAAAAAAAUAAAUCUCUAUUUGGCUAAGUCA